rnacentral:snoRNA from 1 species
AACCCAUGAUGAGGGUACCUUUUCAAGAAGUCCUUGUAUCUCUCCCAAGCAUCAUAUAAUGUCUCUAAAUCGAUCUAGGCAAAGGAAGAAAUGUCAUUCCUCAACUU